ACUGGAUUUAUGAUGCAAUAAUAAUACUUAUAAAGGCCAGAGUAACAUGUUGAACAGUUAACAACGUCUGAUGAAUGGCUUACUUUCCACACACCAUCCUGAUUUGUUAUGAAACGAUUCCCAUCAUAAUUAGAUGUAACAGGGAUGUAUCUCCGGCAUGUCUUCACUACAAAGUUGUUGGAUAAGUCAGUGUCAUCAUCUUCACUGACAAAUAGCUUGAAAGAUGAGUACAAGAGUAUUACAGCCAGGAAUAAGUUGACAGCCUCAAACCUCUGCAGAGUAGCUGUUCCAAGUAGUAUCAGUGACAAACGAAAGACGAUUGCACUGGCAAUACCAUAUGAAAGUACCCGAUUCUGAUACAUGAGUGGNNNNNNNNNNNNAAAAUAUUUGAAAAUCAGUACAAAGACAAAUAGGUUGUCCACUGACAAACUUUGCUCCAAUAUAUA
rnacentral:misc_RNA from 1 species